AGCCACCUGAUUCCCCUCAGCUGUGGCUUGUUGGGUUAAUUAGCCCCCUUCUCAAUCCACAUGAACCCUUUCUGGGCAAGUGUGGGGUAAACAGUCCAUCACCCAGAGCCUUUCCCAGUGACUGGAGUCUUUGCCUGUGGUGGGGAAAAGCACGAGCAUCAGGGAGGCAGUAGGACACUACACUGCUAGAAAUUGCUGUGUAGCUGGGGAGUCACAGCUUGGAAAGCUGACAUUGCCGAUGGAAAGAACAUGCAAUUGUGCAAGGUUGGCCAAGGGAACACACCACAUAGCAGCCCACACAAAGUAAUUUGUGGAAGUAGGUUACUAAUGAGGGCUAAGGCAAAAGAAGUUCAACAUGUGUCUUACAAAAAUUGGCAUGGCACAAAAAGUUUGCACAAAGAUACGGGAAUCUUCCAAACAAAGUUGCAAGAAGCCAUAAGGAGACACUCUGUUUUUUCACUGAGUCAUGAGAAGGGACACAACUUGUAUUCUGGUUGGACAUUUUAUUUUUACCAGAAGCAUUGGUCACUUUCCAACAGGCAGACAUCAGCUUUGCCAAGGAAAAGAAAGAGGCAAUGCAGCCCUGUAGAAAAUGUCUAAAAUGUCCUGUGGUGUUCUGCAUAUUGCUUGUUGAAGCUGAAACGUGUGGAUGAGCAAGCUCACCUCCUCCUCGGAAACAACUAAGGUCUUGUCACUGACAAGCACUCAGUUAAUUCUGUCGUUUAAAGUCCUGUCUUUUAAAGACUGCUGCAAAAUGUUGAAACAGAAGAGGAAUUCAGCUAUCAUAAUACCUUGAGUGAAUCACCUGAAUUAACUCUUUAUCUGUCUCAAGAAACUAGUAAUUACAGUUUUGCAACUGAACUGUAGAACCAAUCUUUCUGCCAGCUCCAGUUUAUAAGUAGCAAAAGGACUUGUAUUGUUUACUCAUGUGUCAACUUGGUUAUGUUAAGUUAAAUGCUUCUCAGAAAGUACUUACCUGAGUUAAAAGCCUCUGAAUAACUGAAUAAUGCACCAUAUGUACUUGUAUUUCACCAGUAAAUUUAGUCUCAGUUGUCUAGAAGUUAUGCUAAAUCAAUAAGAAUUGAGAACAUUAAGGCUGGAGAAACUCCUUGCACUAACCAAGCCUAAUAUUGUUUGUAAUAGGACCCUGUGCUACACUACAGCACAAGUUAGCUGUGAGAAAUCCUGAGUUUUCUAAUAAUUCAGUUUAGUUUUUUUUUUAAAUCAGAUUGUGUGGUCAAGAGAAUUGACAGCUUCUUAGACAAAAAGAGGAAGAAGUUUUGAAUUGACUAGUAAGCUAUAGAUUUUACCACUAUUUGAACCUUUGUUUAGAGUGGCAUAAGAGUUUAUAGCACUGGUGAAAUAGAUUGAUAAUUAAGGAACUUGUCCCAAAUAUCUAAAUCCUACUUUGGAACUGUUCUGGUUGAAGUGACAUGGGCAGUGACAUCACUCCAUUGGCAGAUAAGCUUGAUUGGAAGUGAACAAGUAUCUAUGUUUAGGAUCAAUACUUCUGUGUUGAUGCUGAAAUCAUCUGCCUAGACUAGGGUAGGAUAAAAGUUGGCCUUUGGGAAAAGUCUGUAAGGAAACCUACAAUUAAUUGAACUGAUUUCUUGUCUCUUGAAAAUUGUAACGUCCUGUGUUGAAUUCAAUUUGGACAUUGUGAACACUAUCAUCUAACCAGCUUUAUUUUGUUUCCUGUAAUUUCUCAUUUGCUUUCAAAGCUAUUUUGGCUAAUAGUUCUCCAGUUUGUACUUUAACAAAAGAACACAGACCCAAAGAACUGCAAGAAAUCUAGAUGAGGUAACAAGUUAUACUACACACAGUGAUAUAUAAUUUAGUUAACCAAUCUUUCUCAACCAUUCCAGGGGGUCGGUUAACUCCCCUACCAGUAGGAAAUCUGGCUGAGUCAGACAGACUUCCUUUCAGAGAUUCCAGGUGCAGCAUGUCCCAUAUGCAUCUAUGAGGGCACAAUCUAGCCCGCAAUAUAGAGAAAUGCUAACAUAACAGAUGCCACUGGACCAGUGAUUUCUGGGAAGGUAUUUCUUUGAUGUAUUGGGCUGCCCUUUAGGUCAGCUAAAGAAUAUGAUCCAGAUUAUGCCAACAUGUGCAGGGCUAUUUGAAAAGGAUUAAUACUGUGAAGACUUUCUCCUCUGUUCCAGACCAUAAGUAAUACCAAUAAACAUUCUAGUGGGGUGAGGAAGGGAAGCCUAAGGACAUUUUUUUCCAGUAAUGGCUUUGCCAUUACAAUAAAGCUAAGCAGUUUAGAUAUUUAUAAUGAUUUCCUAAAUCUUUGUUCAAGAAAUUUAGCAUGUUGUCUCCUGUGAAGAGGUGACUGCUGAAGAAGAAGACAACCAACCAAUUGCGAGGGCCUCCAGUUGAGUUAAGCAAACUGGGAAUAAAUGGUAGAUUCUUCUGCAGUAUGGGCCGUGGAUCGCCUUAUGAGAUCAUCUGGGGCAUAUCUGUCAAGUGUAAGGCCCUCAGCUCUUCCUGCUCAGUACUUCUGAUGUCCUAAUAAGCCUAACAUCCACAGCCAUGGACACUGUCUCCCUGUGCUCAUCUCUCCAAGCUUUGCUCCUCCACGGCUCCAGCCCAGAUCCUGCCCUGCACCCAACCUUGUUCCCAUUCUUGCAGGGGCAUUGGGUAUUGGUAGUGCCUUGGUUUCUCCUGUGGCACACAAGAAUUUAGGGCAUGCCUAUAUUGCAAUUACUAGCUGUGGUUGCUGCUACGUACCCGUCCUAGCUUUAGCGGCUACGUACCCAGCCUAGCUCUAAUUAGCUCAGGUACUGAAGCAGUGAAGCUGCAGCAUCAUGUGCUUCAGCAUAGGCUAGCUCUGCAUUCUGGGUAGGCUUGUUCAACCCCCACUGAAGACCAAACUGCUUGCGGCUUCGCUACUCUGAUCCCUGAGCUAGCUACAUUAAAGCUACCUCCAAUAUGUCUAUAUGAGCUACAAUCACACCCUCUUGUUGCAGUGUAGACAUACCCUUUGUCUCCUGA